rnacentral:rRNA from 1 species
AACGCGAAGAACCUUACCUGGGCUUGACAUGUGGGUGACCGGUGUGGAAACACACCUUCCCUUCGGGGCACCUUCACAGGUGGUGCAUGGCUGUCGUCAGCUCGUGUCGUGAGAUGUUGGGUUAAGUCCCGCAACGAGCGCAACCCCCGUCGCAUGUUGCCAGCAUUUAGUUGGGGACUCAUGCGAGACUGCCGGUGACAAACCGGAGGAAGGUGGGGAUGACGUCAAGUCCUCAUGCCCCUUAUGUCCAGGGCUACACACGUGCUACAUUGGCGCAUACAGAGGGCUGCGAUACCGCGAGGUGGAGCGAAUCCCUUAAAGUGCGUCUCGGUUCGGAUUGUAGGCUGAAAUUCGCCUGCAUGAAGGCGGAGUUGCUAGUAAUCGCGGAUCAUCACUGCCGCGGUGAAUACGUUCCCGGGCCUUGUA